AGAGUUUGAUCAUGGCUCAGGACGAACGCUGGCGGCGUGCUUAACACAUGCAAGUCGAACGAUGAUGCACUCUUCGGGGUGUGGAUUAGUGGCGAACGGGUGAGUAACACGUGAGUAACCCGCCCCCUUCUUUGGGAUAACUGUCGGAAACGGUGGCUAAUACCGGAUAUUCAUAUGCUGUCGCAUGGUGGUGUGUGGAAAGAUUUUUUGGUGGGGGAUGGGCUCGCGGCCUAUCAGUUUGUUGGUGAGGUGAUGGCUCACCAAGGCGUUGACGGGUAGCCGGCCUGAGAGGGCGACCGGCCACACUGGGACUGAGAUACGGCCCAGACUCCUACGGGAGGCAGCAGUGGGGAAUAUUGCACAAUGGGCGGAAGCCUGAUGCAGCGACGCCGUGUGCGGGAUGACGGCCUUCGGGUUGUAAACCGCUUUCAACUGUGACGAAUUUGACGGUAGCAGUAGAAGAAGCACCGGCUAACUACGUGCCAGCAGCCGCGGUAAUACAUAGGGGGCAAGCGUUAUCCGGAAUUAUUGGGCGUAAAGGGUGCGUAGGCGGUUAGUAAAGUUUAAGGUAUAAGCUCAUGGCUCAACCAUGGGAGGCUUUAGAAACUGGCUAACUUGAGUGCAGUAGAGGCAAGUGGAAUUCCAUGUGUAGCGGUAAAAUGCGUAAAUAUAUGGAGGAACACCAGUAGCGAAGGCGGCUUGCUGGGCUGUAACUGACGCUGAGGCACGAAAGCGUGGGGAGCAAACAGGAUUAGAUACCCUGGUAGUCCACGCCGUAAACGAUGAGUACUAAGUGUUGGGGUAGCCCAGUGCUGAAGUUAACGUAAUAAGUACUCCGCCUGAGUAGUACGUGCGCAAGCAUGAAACUCAAAUGAAUUGACGG
rnacentral:rRNA from 1 species